CCAUAAUCAUCAGCAUUUUUUCGAAGCUAACCUUGCGGACUGGAUGUCAAAGAAUUUGCAGGAUUUGAACAAUUUUCCAGGUGGCAACCUUUGGCGUGUCACCUUUGGCAUUGCUAUUUGGCAGCUUUGGUUUUGGCGCAAUCAAUUUAUUUUCACCAAGGCUUUCUGGGAGAGCAAUAAUAUUGCAAUGGAUAUCAAAGUUAGGGCAGCU
rnacentral:lncRNA from 1 species